GCUGUUUUUGGUUAUUAUCUUGAAUAUUAUUAUAGAUAGAGAUAAACUGUAAACAGCAAUAAUGUUCAGCAAAGUAAGAUUUACAAAUAAGUCAACAUGACGGAAAUGGUCAGUUGACCCCUUUAGGAGUUAUUGCCCUUUAUAGUCAAUUUUUAACCAUUUUUCGUAAAUCUUAGUAAUCUUUUACAAACAUCUUCUCCUCUGAAACUACUGGGCC
rnacentral:lncRNA from 1 species